rnacentral:tRNA from 1 species
UGCUCUUACCAGGAAUCGAACCUGAACGAUAUGUACAUAAGACAUAUAUGCUAACCAUUACAUCAUAAGAGC